UACGUAGGGGGCAAGCGUUGUCCGGAUUUAUUGGGCGUAAAGAGCGUGUAGGCGGCCUGGUAGGUCAGCUGUGAAAACUCGAGGCUCAACCUCGAGACGCCGGUUGAAACCAUCAGGCUAGAGUCCGGAAGAGGAGAGUGGAAUUCCCGGUGUAGCGGUGAAAUGCGCAGAUAUCGGGAAGAACACCCGUGGCUAAGGCGGCUCUCUAGUACGGUACUGACGCUGAGACGCGAAAGCGUGGGAGCAAACAGG
rnacentral:rRNA from 1 species